ensembl:misc_RNA 7SK 7SK RNA
GGAUGUGUGGGCAAUCUAGCUGUGACAUCUGUCACCUUGUUGAGUGUCAGAGUUUAUUCAGCUGACCUGGAUGACCAAGCAGGUGUCUCUUCCUGUCUCUUGGCUCUGGGUGUGUCCCUCUACACACACACACAAGGCUGUGUGACCUUCCCUGAUGGAGAAGAACCAUUCUUCAGUCAAGGAUACAUGAGUAACUUUGCUGGUCUGCUAGAACUUCCAAACAAGUGUUCAAGGUCACAAAUUGUAGGAUUGCAUUGAUAGGAAAUCUCCAGGGAAGAUCAAUCUGUGCAGCCAGGAGAU